GCAAACUUGGUCAUUUAGAGGAAGUAAAAGUCGUAACAAGGUUUCCGUAGGUGAACCUGCGGAAGGAUCAUUAACAAGAUCGAACCAAAAAAAAUAUGGACGAUCAAAUCCAUAUCCACCUUGUGUGCACUUAUUGACCGUUUGCUUUGGCAGGAGUUGUCUUUGGAUCCCGGCCCCCCCUCGAUAGAUGGGGAGAGGGAUCGAAGCUGCGAGGGUGGGAGGACCCCUCCCGUACACCCCUCGGGCCUGCCAGAGUUUUUUAAGAUCCACACUUUUAUUUAAACCUUUUUGGACUGAACCCUCGUCUCGAUUCUUUGUAAUCGGUCGAAUCUAAUACAACUUUCAACAACGGAUCUCUUGGCUCUCGCAUCGAUGAAGAACGCAGC
rnacentral:misc_RNA from 1 species